UACAGAGGGGCAAGCGUUAUUCGGAAUUAUUGGGCGUAAAGGGCGCGUAGGCGGUGCUUUAAGUCGGAUGUGUAAUCCCCGGGCUCAACCUGGGAACUGCGUUUGUGACUGGACAGCUAGAGUGCGGCAGAGGGGGGUGGAAUUCCACGUGUAGCAGUGAAAUGCGUAGAGAUGUGGAGGAACACCGAUGGCGAAGGCAGCCCCCUGGGCCAGCACUGACGCUCAUGCACGAAAGCGUGGGGG
rnacentral:rRNA from 1 species